rnacentral:rRNA from 1 species
CUCCUACGGGAGGCAGCAGUGGGGAAUCUUAGACAAUGGGCGCAAGCCUGAUCUAGCCAUGCCGCGUGAGCGAUGAAGGCCUUAGGGUUGUAAAGCUCUUUCAGUGGGGAAGAUAAUGACUGUACCCACAGAAGAAGCCCCGGCUAACUCCGUGCCAGCAGCCGCGGUAAUA